UUUGUUUUUAAUAAGGAGCACUUAUACUUGGAAGGAAUCAUUGUUUUGCAAAAGUGAUAUCAAAGAUUAAUAGUACAGGGCAAGCAAACAGAUUGCAAACAACCCUCAAAGCAGCUGCUGUGCAUAGGAUCUCAAACUAAACAAAAAAAUGCCUUAAACCAUGCCUGGAAACAAGAAGAAAUACAGCAUAUCCUGGCAAACCAACAGGGUUUAUGGGUUAGCAUUUCAAAAAGCCAACAACCUACCUACUCCUGCAUCUAGGAGUCCUACUGUGCUGUGCAACCAUCCCAACUCACAUUAACACCCUUGGGCUACACUACCCACUGGUGACAGUUGCCAGCCGGAGAGGGACAUGGAGACAGACCAUGGGGAACAAGGCAGACAGGAAGAGUGGCCCCCUCACCUCUCAAGGUCUGUCUAUGCAUAGCGAGGAUAUGACACUGCUAUAUCCAAAAGAGAAGAAACAAGCUCAGCUUUCAGUCUUGGAUUCUCCACACUUUUAAAUAGCUUGGUUUUCCUAUUAGCCAUUACUAUUAUGGCGUAACAUCUUUGCCAUAAACCCAAAAUUUCUAAGUAAAACAUCCCUGUUCUUAACACAUAACUUUCAACCUGAAAGUCAACAACAGGAAACAACUUUGUCACUUUAUUAUCAUAUGAGGAAAGACAACUGAAGAACUAAAGUACCCCUCAAAACAUGGAAAGUAGAUGAAUACACCUCCUUCACCUUUUCAGAAAACCAAAUACAAAGUGUGGGAAAGCAUGAGGCUGAGAAGACAUUUGUGAAUUGAAUGUAAAGGACUAUGAACUGGAAAAGUUGAAACCGCAUGACUCAAGACUGAACAAGAAUCCUCUCCUAAUAUAAAAACAUGACAAAAAAAGCUAACUGAAGGAGUUUUGUUUAAUUUGAUAUUCCACAUCUAAUAUCCAAAUAUUCACUUUUUUCAUAAACUACUUCAUAGCAACAUUUUUGUGUUACCUAUUAUCCACUUCAAAAGACAUGGAGUCUACCUGGAUGCAUGUCUGGGCUGAAAGUCAAGAAAGUUUGGGGACUAAAUAUUGAAGGCAAGCAGCAGAGAACAGUGAGCACAGAUCAAUAAAACUCCAUGCUAUACAACACAGAACUUGCACAACAUUCUUUGUGUGCUAAGUGUGCUAAGAGAAACAACAAGCUAAAAAAAGAAUUAAGUUAUCUUGGAUAUAAGAAGCCUGUCUUCUGAAGUGCUGUAAGGAACAAGAGGGCGAGUUUUACUACUCCUGUCCUAAAUAUCUACAAGUACAUAAACCCCUCACUUCAGUAGCAGAAAAAGAGCAGAGGAAGACAAAUUAGUUUUAUAGACUACCAAAGUUCAAACUAUUUCUAGCAUCUCAAACUAUAACUUCGCAUAUUCGGUGUGGCAGAACUCGUUUCAUACUACAAUGCUAAGAACUGAAAAUGAAUCUUCUAUUAAUUACAUUAAGACAGACACAAAAUAUGUAUUUCUACACUAUGCAUACAUCAUAUAGAGAUGAUAUUUUGGAUUUUGCUCAGAUGUCUAUUUAAAGCAUGUAAAUACUAUCCUUGCAUCACUGAAUGCAAGUUAGGGUAAUACUCUUCAAACUUGGAAGGUAGUUACUACAAUAAACAGAUUUAUAAAAAUAUAUGGAGUAAUAAACGUAAGGACUGGAUUUUUAACAGCCUUAAACAGUAACACAGUAUCUCCGAAGUAGCAUGUUGCCUCAAGAGGGAGGAAUUGUUUACAGGAAAAUAAGCAGGCGAAGGGAUUAUGUAGAUGAAAACAUGCAAGAGAAGGCUGGAAAUGCAGUCAAACUAAGAAACAAGUGACCCAUCCUAAUUAUCUGUUAGCAGAUGCUGCUAACAGAUGCUCUCACAUUAUGUUCAAAGUACAGCUGUGAGAACCAGAACCAGAUACCGAGGAUGCUAAACUCAGAAAGAGGCAUCUCUUGCACCUCAAAGAGAUACUUGAGAUAUCAUUCUAAGCUGACAAAGCACGUUUCUUCCAAUCAUCUCUGCAUUGUGAACCAAGCCAAAUGUAUACUAAGCCCUUUUGCUUAAGCUGUUAAUUUUAAGGCUUCAGAGGCAGAAAAAGAUAUCAAGGGUUAUUAACAGAUGCACUAAGCCUACGAAACUGUUUAUUCAACUGGUAGUAUGAUGACAGGUAUAUUGUCUUGUCUCAUUUACCUUGGCUAGUCUCUUCUCAAGAGAAUUGUAUGGAAGAGUAAAAGCUAAUUGGGAAAUUUCAGGGAAAAUAAAAGUAUUUUGAACUAACCAAGAAGUUUUACAUUACAAGCAACACAUGAAUUAUAAUCACUGUUGUAUUUUUCCUCCUGGUGUAGACUCAGCUUUUAAGUGUCACAAACCAUGAAAGCUUGAAUAAAAACCAGCUUUAAGACACCUGUAUCUGUUCAGAAGUAAACCUAAUAGCUACAGGAAGACAGAACAGCUCAGCAGGAGAUCUGCACAUCAAUAAACUCACAGAAGUAUUAGUAGCCUACUACAAAUUACAACUUUCUGAUACUUUCAGGAUGCUAGAAAGGGCUAUGCACAGCAACGCAUUUUUCAGAGUGGCACCUAAUUUCAUGGGGUCUGAUUAAUUCAAGGUUCUACCAACUGCAAGUUGCAGUAAGGAAGAAAAUAUCUACUUCCCAGACUCCAGUUUUUGACCCAGUGAAAUAUUCUAGUGCUAAUAUCUCCUAUAGCCUUUAACAACAGCUAGAAAAAACACCCCUGAGGUGCUCAGCCUUGCCAUGUGGCUAACAGAACUCCAACCAGCAUUGGUGGGAGUGUUGCUGCUGGUUUUAACGCUGGCAAAACUAGCGUAAGCUAACUAGGCAAAGCUAUAACAAGCUGAACUCAUAAAUGCUCUUAAAAAAAAUAUUAUACUGUCAUCCAGAUUCAGUGGGCCAUCACCAGAGCAAGAGUAACUUUCUACAAGACACCAUUUUCUUGUAUGUGAUUACACUUAAAAUCAGUGAGAUCAAAACGACAAUAAAUCAUGUUUUCACGACUUCCCAAGUUCCCUUUAAUGAAGUCUUUGCACACAAGCGAUGUCCUGCCCACACCACAUCCCGCAGUUCCCUGCGGCCGCUUCCGGAGGAUGGCAGCACAGAACUCCUCCUGGGACCACAAACCACCAGUCCCCUCUCCAGUAUGGGUUAGCUGGAAGCAGAUGGCAGUGCAGGGAGUCUUGGUCCCUGGAGAGCUCGCUCACCAAGUCACUCUAACUCAGCUCCUUCCUGCAGGUAGCAUAGCAGCUCGGUCCCUCUGUAUCCUGGCUGGGACUGCAGGAGACAGGAAUACGGGCUACGGGAUCACGGCUGUUGGUCUCUGUACGCCCAACGGGACACUUACAGCCUAUAAACCCCCAGCCUUUAAGCACUAUGGCGGAUGUCACCACCCGGCGGGCGACACCUGCGGCCGCGGCACGGCCAGCGCAGCGGAGGCCGCAGGACACGCGGCUGCUACCGCCCCAUCUCAAGGGCAUCCCUCCAGCGCCGCACGGCCACCGCUGCGGGGAAACCCCCGGGCCGGGGGCAGGGAUAGAGCCAGGCGGACACGGGAGCGCCUCGCACCCCUUCUCCAACUCGGUACAGCGACCACACGCGCGGAGGAAGGCGCCUUGGGAGAGGCGAAGCGCCGCUACGCUGCGAACCGCCGGUCCUGAGGAGCCACACCGCCAGCGCCACGCUGCCGCCGGUCGCUCCCCUCAGCGGCAGCACCGGAGCUCCGCCCGCCGCCACC
ensembl:lncRNA